UGGGGAAUAUUGCGCAAUGGGCGAAAGCCUGACGCAGCAACGCCGCGUGGGGGAUGAAGGCUCUCGGGUUGUAAACCCCUUUCAGCAGGGACGCGGUACCUGCAGAAGAAGCCCCGGCUAACUACGUGCCAGCAGCCGCGGUAACACGUAGGGGGCAAGCGUUGUCCGGAUUUAUUGGGCGUAAAGAGCUCGUAGGUGGCUGAGUAAGUCGGAUGUUAAAUCCCCAGGCUCAACCUGGGACACCACCCGAUACUGCUCGGCUAGAGUCCGGUAGGGGAGCGUGGAAUUCCUGGUGUAGCGGUGAAAUGCGCAGAUAUCAGGAGGAACACCAGCGGCGAAGGCGGUGCUCUGGGCCGGUACUGACACUGAGGAGCGAAAGCGUGGGUAGCAAACAGGAUUAGAUACCCGGGUAGU
rnacentral:rRNA from 1 species